CCUACGGGGGGCUGCAGUAAGGAAUAUUGGUCAAUGGACGAAAGUCUGAACCAGCCAUCCCGCGUGCAGGAUGAACGCCCUAUGGGUUGUAAACUGCUUUUAGCAGAGAAGAAAAGCUUUCAUUAAUGAGAGUCUGACGGUAUCUGCAGAGUAAGCACCGGCUAACUCCGUGCCAGCAGCCGCGGUAAUACGGAGGGUGCGGGCGUUAUCCGGAAUUACUGGUGCGAAAGGGUAGUUUUACGGAAUUUGAGAAAUCUUGUCGCUUAACGAUAAAAUUGCCAAUGGUACUGGUACUCUUGAAUUGGGUUGAGGUUAGCGGAAUGUGACAUGUAGCGGUGAAAUGCAUAGAUAUGUCAUGGAACACCAAUUGCGAAGGCAGCUAACUGGGCCUUGAUUGACGCUGAGGCACGAAAGCGUGGGUAGCGAACAGGAUUAGAUACCCCAGUAGUC
rnacentral:rRNA from 1 species